GCCGGGUGUGGUGGCACAUACCUGUAAUCCCAGUGGCUUCGGAGGCUGAGGCAGGAGGAUCAUGAGUUCAAAGAGAGCCUCAGCAAAAGCUAGGUGCUAAGCUACUCAGUGAGACCCUGUCUAUA
rnacentral:sRNA from 1 species